rnacentral:ribozyme from 14 species
UUUUUUUUUUUUUUUUUUUUUUUUUUUUUUUUCGC